GGCUAGUCUGAAGGAAGUAGUGAAUGAUAGCAAUUGGUUGUUCUUCCUUCUCACUACUGUACUUGACUAGUCUCAU
ensembl:Y_RNA Y_RNA Y RNA